rnacentral:rRNA from 1 species
CCUACGGGAGGCAGCAGUGAGGAAUAUUGGUCAAUGGACGAGAGUCUGAACCAGCCAAGUAGCGUGAAGGAUGACUGCCCUAUGGGUUGUAAACUUCUUUUAUGUGGGAAUAAAAUGUUCCACGUGUGUGAUUUUGUAGGUACCAUAUGAAUAAGGAUCAGCUAACUCCGUGCCAGCAGCCGCGGUAAUACGGAGGAUCCGAGCGUUAUCCGGAUUUAUUGGGUUUAAAGGGAGCGUAGGUGGAUUGUUAAGUCAGUUGUGAAAGUUUGCGGAAUGCGUGGUGUAGCGGUGAAAUGCAUAGAUAUCACGAAGAACUCCGAUUGCGAAGGCAGCAUACUGG